GGCGAGAUAGUAUAGUGGUUAGUACAGUCGGUUCUGAUCCGACUAACCUGGGUUCGAUCCCCAGUCACGCCUA
rnacentral:tRNA from 1 species